AAAACAUCUUAAAUGUUGACCUUUUAAAGUAAACAUGCAUCUUUAAUACUAGAACUAGCAAAUACUUACGGAGUGCAAAUGGAGAGCCAGGUUGUGCUCCAGGUGAUUUUUAUAUAUCAUCUCAUUUAACAAACAAUAUGGUACUGCAUCCUCCCCAUCUUAUUCAAGUGGUCACCGAGGCACAGAGAGUUUAAGUAAUUUGCUCAAGGUCACAGAAUGAGUAAGUGGCAGAGCUGGGAUUCAAACUUAAAUUGGCCAGCUCCAGAAUCUCAGACCUUACCCAUUAUGCUAUACUGUCCUCUUAUUGGCUCUUUUGAAACAAAACUCUUUCAAACAAAAGAAACCGUCAAAUUCAUUUCAAAAGGAAACCAGGACACAGGCACAAAGAAACUGCUUGUCCAUUGUCGCACAUGAGGUUAUUGGCAGACAAAGGACUGAAUUCAUGUCUCAUCUCUCCUGUUAGUACACUCCACUGUCCCACGGGACAAAAGCAGGGCAGGGAGCUGGGUGACACUGGAACCAGGUUCUGUUAUUUCCAGCAAAGGGGAAUGGGCUAGGACGUGGAUCUUAGAAAAGAAGUGGAAGGAGGACAGAGAAGGGCCUGAGCACAGCAGGGCCCGUGUGAGUUGGCACUGCUCCUUCUGUACCUGACCCCGUUCUGCUCCUUCUUGAAAGGAGCCACUGAGGUGUGGAAUGCCCCCCAGGAGAUGCCUUAUGCCUACAAGGGGAAUCAGUGGAUCAAGUAUGACAACCCCAGGAGCUUCGCCCUCAAGGUUGCAGAGUACCCACCUCUACCCUGGGCACCAGCUUGGCCCCCAUCGUCACUGCAGCACCUGGGGGUGGCAGUGGAUUCUGUGCGGGGAAGUCCAGGGGUCUGUAUCCUAGCCCCACCAGCAAGCAUGCCUUCUAAAACUGCAUGGGUGGGCACACAUAUGAGGAGGCUUGUCAGGAAGGCCUGGUCUUUUAUACCAGCUGCUCUGGCAGUAACUGUACAUAAGCUAUUCACCUGUAGGGUCCCUUGGGGAUUGUAAGACAAAGGGAUGAUUAAAGGGAAGUUUUGCAUGUGAAUGCCAAGUUGUCUGUUUUGAUUUAUAAAACUGUGUGAUACUAUCCAGCAAAUAAAAGAAAACUUACUGCCACCCCAUAAUCCCAGUUGUCCACGAGCUCCCAGGAGGUGGCCAAACAUUGAGGCUGAGAGAGAAGGAGAAACAGGUACCUGGGACCUAUCUGA
rnacentral:lncRNA from 1 species